rnacentral:rRNA from 1 species
ACGAACGCUGGCGGCGUGCUUAACACCUGCCCGUCGAACGGAAAGGCCCUGCUUUUGUGGGGUGCUCGAGUGGCGAACGGGUGAGUAACACGUGAGUAACCUGCCCUUGACUUUGGGAUAACUUCAGGAAACUGGGGCUAAUACCGGAUAGGAGCUCCUGCUGCAUGGUGGGGGUUGGAAAGUUUCGGCGGUUGGGGAUGGACCCGCGGCUUAUCAGCUUGUUGGUGGGGUAGUGGCUUACCAAGGCUUUGACGGGUAGCCGGCCUGAGAGGGUGACCGGCCACAUUGGGACUGAGAUACGGCCCAGACUCCUACGGGAGGCAGCAGUGGGGAAUAUUGCACAAUGGGCGGAAGCCUGAUGCAGCAACGCCGCGUGCGGGAUGACGGCCUUCGGGUUGUAAACCGCUUUCGCCUGUGACGAAGCGUGAGUGACGGUAAUGGGUAAAGAAGCACCAGCUAACUACGUG